UACGUAGGGUGCAAGCGUUAAUCGGAAUUACUGGGCGUAAAGCGUGCGCAGGCGGUUGUGCAAGACAGAUGUGGAAUCCCCGGGCUUAACCUGGGAAUUGCAUUUGAGACUGCACGGCUAGAGUGUGUCAGAGGGGGGUAGAAUUCCACGUGUAGCAGUGAAAUGCGUAGAUAUGUGGAGGAAUACCGAUGGCGAAGGCAGGCCCCUGGGAUAACACUGACGCUCAUGCACGAAAGCGUGGGGAGCAAACAGG
rnacentral:rRNA from 1 species